GACGAACGCUGGCGGCGUGCUUAACACAUGCAAGUCGAACGGAAAGGCCCUGCUUUUGUGGGGUGCUCGAGUGGCGAACGGGUGAGUAACACGUGAGUAACCUGCCCUUGACUUUGGGAUAACUUCAGGAAACUGGGGCUAAUACCGGAUAGGAGCUCCUGCUGCAUGGUGGGGGUUGGAAAGUUUCGGCGGUUGGGGAUGGACUCGCGGCUUAUCAGCUUGUUGGUGGGGUAGUGGCUUACCAAGGCUUUGACGGGUAGCCGGCCUGAGAGGGUGACCGGCCACAUUGGGACUGAGAUACGGCCCAGACUCCCACGGGAGGCAGCAGUGGGGAAUAUUGCACAAUGGGCGGAAGCCUGAUGCAGCAACGCCGCGUGCGGGAUGACGGCCUUCGGGUUGUAAACCGCUUUCGCCUGUGACGAAGCGUGAGUGACGGUAAUGGGUAAAGAAGCACCGGCUAACUACGUGCCAGCAGCCGCGGUGAUACGUAGGGUGCGAGCGUUGUCCGGAUUUAUUGGGCGUAAAGGGCUCGUAGGUGGUUGAUCGCGUCGGAAGUGUAAUCUUGGGGCUUAACCCUGAGCGUGCUUUCGAUACGGGUUGACUUGAGGAAGGUAGGGGAGAAUGGAAUUCCUGGUGGAGCGGUGGAAUGCGCAGAUAUCAGGAGGAACACCAGUGGCGAAGGCGGUUCUCUGGGCCUUUCCUGACGCUGAGGAGCGAAAGCGUGGGGAGCGAACAGGCUUAGAUACCCUGGUAGUCCACGCUGUAAACGGUGGGUACUAGGUGUGGGGUCCAUUCCACGGGUUCCGUGCCGUAGCUAACGCUUUAAGUACCCCGCCUGGGGAGUACGGCCGCAAGGCUAAAACUCAAAGGAAUUGACGGGGCCCCGCACAAGCGGCGGAGCAUGCGGAUUAAUUCGAUGCAACGCGUAGAACCUUACCUGGGUUUGACAUGGAUCGGGAGUGCUCAGAGAUGGGUGUGCCUCUUUUGGGGUCGGUUCACAGGUGGUGCAUGGCUGUCGUCAGCUCGUGUCGUGAGAUGUUGGGUUAAGUCCCGCAACGAGCGCAACCCUUGUUCACUGUUGCCAGCACGUUAUGGUGGGGACUCAGUGGAGACCGCCGGGGUCAACUCGGAGGAAGGUGGGGAUGACGUCAAGUCAUCACGCCCCUUAUGUCCAGGGCUUCACGCAUGCUACAAUGGCUGGUACAGAGAGUGGCGAGCCUGUGAGGGUGAGCGAAUCUCGGAAAGCCGGUCUCAGUUCGGAUUGGGGUCUGCAACUCGACCUCAUGAAGUCGGAGUCGCUAGUAAUCGCAGAUCAGCAACGCUGCGGUGAAUACGUUCCCGGGGCU
rnacentral:rRNA from 1 species